UCAGUAGCUCAGUGGUAGAG
rnacentral:siRNA from 1 species